AAGUGAUUAAUUUGGUCCGAUUAUGAUAUAUUGUUCCUCCAAUUUAGAAGGUAUUAGCUGGCUAGAAGAGUUAAUAACCACUCUUUAUUAACUUCCUGCAUAUGGGCAAGGACCUCAGAUGAACUGGUGCCAGAUCAAAGCCGCUGAGAAAAUGCCCCACCGGGUUCCGCUGACGGGGUCCACGGCUGUGACGUCACAGGGCGUGUCUUGGUCCUGUUGAAAGACCGCUUUCGAAGCCGGUAAAACGGUGCUUCUUAACACAGAUACAGCAGGAAGUCGUGUUAAAGAUUUUCCGGAACUCAUUAAUCACAGAGAAAACACAGAUCGAUGCUGAAGCUCAUUUAGAUGAGCAUCCAUGUUAUGGAUGACAAACAUGAAAAUGAACGUGAAAAAGAAGGCGAAAGUGGUUUGUCCGUGGGGUCGCUAGUGAUGUCAACUGAACAUCUUCUGAAGAAGACAGAAUUUCCCAAUCUGUAGACGGUACACUUUAUCCUGGUCCAUCUUAAAAUACGUGGAAAACAGAGAGCCAGACCCCAGCCCAGAAGACAAUGGGGCAGUCGUCUUCCCUGAGCUGAACGUCGUGUGGCGGCGGAGAUCCAUCAUGGGCUCUGGGGGAAGACUCUGGCGCUGUCGUCCUGACUCUGCCCUAGGGCUGACGAGGCCUGUUAGAAUACAAGCAUGUAUAAUAACUUGGACACAACCAUUUUUAUUUCUUCUGCGUGUCAUUACUGAAAGAUUGAAGCAAGCUUCACCUAAGUGUAGUGAUGCAAAAAUAAUAGUAUCCCAGUCUGGCUGCACUACAGCGGAGGCAAACGGCUGCUCCGUAUCCCAGUGCCUUCGAGGUGGCUGACACGCCGCGUCUCACCAGACGUAAAUAAUGACAGACGGAAACCAUCAUGAGGAGCUGGUAGGAAGUGUGAUGCUACACAGAGAGAGCAACACUAAUGGAAAACAGAAGCAAAUAAGGCCAUAUUGACCCCUGACUUGUCUAAAUAAGGUGGGAUCAUCAUUACUUAGGAGAGUUUUAUCGAAACCACGCCUGUAUCAGCUGCUUAUGAUUCUUUUGUAACACCAACCGUGACUUAAAUCAAGGAGAAACCCAAAGGAAUUCAUCUUGUU